GGAGCUCCCCCGUCAGCCCAGUCUUAUCGUUUCGAGUGUCACCUCGGGCAACUGUUCGGACGAAUCAAGGAAGAUUCCGGCGUGGGUGCCAAGCUCCAAGGCGAUCGCUCAGAUCCAGGCUCAUACGGCCGCUCACGCCGGCUCUCGACACCUA
rnacentral:sRNA from 1 species